ACUCCUGCGGGAGGCAGCAGUGGGGAAUUUUGGACAAUGGGCGAAAGCCUGAUCCAGCCAUGCCGCGUGCAGGAUGAAGGCCUUCGGGUUGUAAACUGCUUUUGUACGGAACGAAACGGCCUUUUCUAAUAAAGAGGGCUAAUGACGGUACCGUAAGAAUAAGCACCGGCUAACUACGUGCCAGCAGCCGCGGUAAUACGUAGGGUGCAAGCGUUAAUCGGAAUUACUGGGCGUAAAGCGUGCGCAGGCGGUUAUGUAAGACAGUUGUGAAAUCCCCGGGCUCAACCUGGGAACUGCAUCUGUGACUGCAUAGCUAGAGUACGGUAGAGGGGGAUGGAAUUCCGCGUGUAGCAGUGAAAUGCGUAGAUAUGCGGAGGAACACCGAUGGCGAAGGCAAUCCCCUGGACCUGUACUGACGCUCAUGCACGAAAGCGUGGGGAGCAAACAGGAUUAGAAACCCUAGUAGUCCCAUG
rnacentral:rRNA from 1 species